rnacentral:rRNA from 1 species
UACGUAGGGUGCAAGCGUUGUCCGGAAUUAUUGGGCGUAAAGAGCUCGUAGGCGGUUUUUCGCGUCUGCUGUGAAAACUCGGGGCUUAACCCCGGGCCUGCAGUGGGUACGGGCAGACUAGAGUGCGGUAGGGGAGACUGGAAUUCCUGGUGUAGCGGUGAAAUGCGCAGAUAUCAGGAGGAACACCGGUGGCGAAGGCGGGUCUCUGGGCCGUAACUGACGCUGAGACGCGAAAGCGUGGGGAGCAAACAGG